UGAAGAGGAGGUGAAGAGGAGGAGAGGAGGUGAGGGAGAGGAGGUGAUGAGGAGGUGAAGAGGAGGUGAAGAGGUGAAGGAGAGGAGGUGAUGAGGAGGUGGAGAGGAGGUGAAGAGGUGAAGGAGAGGAGGUGAUGAGGAGGUGAAGAGGAGGUGAAGAGUAGGUGAAGAAGAGGUGAAG